GAGGAGAGUAUCCUAAGGCCAGCGAGAGAACUGUUGUUAAGGAACUCGGCAAAAUGACCCCGUAACUUAGGGAUAAGGGGUGCCACCAUCAGGUGGCCGCAGAGAAUAGGCCCAAGCGACUGUUUACCAAAAACAUAGGGUUCUGCUAAGUCGCAAGACGAUGUAUAGGAGCUGACGCCUGCCCGGUGCUGGAAGGUUAAGGGGAGCUGUUAGAGCAAUCGAAGCAGUGAACUUAAGCCCCAGUAAACGGCGGCCGUAACUAUAACGGUCCUAAGGUAGCGAAAUUCCUUGUCGGGUAAGUUCCGACCCGCACGA
rnacentral:rRNA from 1 species